rnacentral:tRNA from 1 species
GCCCGGAUAGCUCAGUCGGUAGAGCAGGGGAUUGAAAAUCCCCGUGUCGGUGGUUCGAUUCCGCCUCCGGGCAC